GUCACUUUUACUUGAUAGGAAUUACGGUACAUGAUGCUAGCUGCGACUCUGCCCCCAAGAAGUGCCUUGACGUCCUGGGAAGAAAAGAAACAUUCAACGGUCUUUGCUGUGGACCAUUACCUGUUUCCUUCCUUUGCCCCAGAGCAGACGAAUUGACGGAAAGCUCAACAAAUGAGUUUGUGGUGCUGUUGUUUUUGCUAGCAAAGCAUCUUUUAGCUUGCCGGUAGCUGUGUUAGCUAGCUAACGCGGGAGGAGGCACCUGCAAAAACAUCGCUGCUGAGACUGCUUGUACUUUACUGCAAUCAUACAGACGAAGAAAGAAAGAAAACGUUAUGGAAUUCCCUUUUAAUGUUAACCAAUUGUUUCCAGAGAGGUUCUCCAUUUUGGACAAGAGCCUUGUUGUUGAACAUGCGUCUCCGAAAAGAGCAGAUCUUCAAUCUCACAUUGCCACUGUUAUUGACGAACUGGGGAGAGCCUCUGCAAAGGCCCAAAAGCUAACAACACCUGUCACGAGUGCUACCAAGUUGCAGUCUCAGCAUCAUGAACUCUACCUGAUGAAGGAUGGAGAAAGCAAUGGAGAGUGUGGUGCCAUUGUGGGAUUUCUCAAAGUUGGAUACAAGAAGUUAAUAUUGCUAGACCGCCGAGGUUUGCACACAGAGGCCGAGCCACUGUGUGUUUUGGAUUUCUUCAUAGCCGAGAACUUGCAGAGACACGGAUACGGGCUGGAGCUGUUUCAUUUCAUGUUGCAGCACAAGAAUAUAGACCCUGUGCUGAUGGCGUAUGACAGGCCCUCUCCCAAAUUGUUGUCUUUCCUGGCCAAGCAUUACUGCCUAACACAGAGUGUUCCUCAGGUCAAUAACUUUGUUGUGUUUGAGGGCUUCUUCAACAACAAAUCAGUGGCCAAAUUAAGAACGAUUCCCCUAAGAAAGCCCGACAGCGAGAUCAAGCCCUAUUCCCUCGUGGAGAGAGAAGCGGUGCGUCGGGAAGAGAGGAGUCUUCCCUGGCCGUUGGCAUCCUCCCAGUGCUCCCUCAGUGUGGGCUCCUCCCCCACCAGGGCCGCGCUCGGGCUACACAGGGACCAGAGGCCAAAGUUUCCUCUCAACGAACCAUCCCGGGAGAGACGCACCAGCCAACAGGGUCAAGUUGCCAGAGAGGGUCUGUACAGUCGCCACAUGGACAGCCGAUCUUUGGGAAGACCCUUAGCAGGUCUGAGGUCAGCCAAAGAGCAAGCACACUUAUCGCAGAGGUUGCCCAAACUACAAAGCAGGCUCCGUACACCUCCAACUUUAUCUGCGACCGAGGACAAUGCCGUUUGCUGGCCGACGUCCCCCGGCCGCCAAAAACUACGCCUAGGAACAGAUGCUGAGGUGGCUGAUGGGAAAAAGGAACUCCCAGCUCCCAACGGUCCCGGAAGCGCAGCGAGAGUCCUGUCGGAAAGUCCGAGACAUUUAUCGGACGGCUGUCCCCGGACCGUCGGAAACGCCUGCUUCUCUGCCCAGCAGAUGAAGCAGCGCUUGCUGUUGAACAGGGACACGCGUCCGUGGUGAGUGACAUGGGCUUAUUGGAUGAACAACAUAGCAAGAAGCUUUCAGCUGUGGUGUGUGUUUGGACCAUAACCAUUUGAAACAUUUUCCACUCUGAGCUGUGUCAAGUUGGACAUGUCAACCAUGUGGAACUGCUACUUAUCAAAAGUCAUCAGAAUGUCAAGUUGGAGGCAACUCACACAUUUCUCUACAAAUUGUCUUAAAAAUGUUAGCCCUUUUAAGAGUAAAACAAAACUUACCAAAAAACAACAACAACACUCAUUGGUAACCAGUGAGGGAGGCUACUUGCUUUAUACUUUUGACUGUUGUUUUUAUACCAAUAAAUGCCAUCAUGUAUGUUUCAUACCAAU